rnacentral:rRNA from 1 species
UACGUAGGGUGCGAGCGUUGUCCGGAAUUAUUGGGCGUAAAGAGCUCGUAGGCGGUCUGUUGCGUCGGGAGUGAAAACUCAGGGCUUAACCCUGAGCCUGCUUCCGAUACGGGCAGACUAGAGGUAUGCAGGGGAGAACGGAAUCCUGGUGUAGCGGUGGAAUGCGCAGAUAUCAGGAGGAACACCGGUGGCGAAGGCGGGUCUCUGGUACGUGACUGACGCUGAGACGCGAAAGCGUGGGAGCAAACAGG